GAUUCUAUAGCCUAGUUCUCACAGUCUGCUGCAGUAGUAACUCAGUGUCUUCAGUGCCAGGUAUGAGCACGCCGGGAAUAAGUCUCAAUUACUCAGUUAACAAGCAAGUUUUAGGUUUGCAGCCUGCCUACAGGACAACUGGCUUUCUCUGCCACAUGAAGAUCUUCCUGCACCACCAUCAAGGUGCUGAUGUCCCUGUGCUACCACCACCACAUUAGUAACCAUGUCCUUUUUUUUAACUGUUAUUCAUUGUAUGUGGUCCUAAUCACAAAACAGAAAUUCAGGAGGGCUUCAUCUGCUUAAACAUGGAUAUUUGCAACUUAGUUUGAGUGAAUAAAACCUCAGUCUGCAUCACUUUGUUUCAUUUGGUUUCAUAAUGAAAGGAAAAUUUUCACAGAAGGUAAUGGAAUUUUCAAAUAAGACUGAUUAACCUAAAAAUGAAAUUCAAAAGUUUUUUUCAUGAGAAGCUGGAGAAACUUGAAAAAAAGAAAAAGCACUGAAAAAAAUGCUUUGAAGAAAAAGUUUGGA